rnacentral:rRNA from 1 species
GAGUUUGAUCGUGGCUCAGAUUGAACGCUGGCGGCAGGCCUAACACAUGCAAGUCGAGCGGAUGAAGGGAGCUUGCUCCUGGAUUCAGCGGCGGACGGGUGAGUAAUGCCUAGGAAUCUGCCUGGUAGUGGGGGAUAACGUCCGGAAACGGGCGCUAAUACCGGCAUACGUCCUGAGGGAGAAAGUGGGGGAUCUUCGGACCUCACGCUAUCAGAUGAGCCUAGGUCGGAUUAGCUAGUUGGUGGGGUAAAGGCCUACCAAGGCGACGAUCCGUAACUGGUCUGAGAGGAUGAUCAGUCACACUGGAACUGAGACACGGUCCAGACUCCUACGGGAGGCAGCAGUGGGGAAUAUUGGACAAUGGGCGAAAGCCUGAUCCAGCCA